GCUGCCAUCAAUUGUUUCAGACACAGUUCUCUGCUUGAAAACGGGAUUGCAACGUGAGGGCUGCUCAUCAUCCCGAGCAGGCGGCUUUGCAGCAGUUCUAAGAGCCAGGCAGGUCUGAGGUCUGCAGCGCAUCAGGUGCCGCACAGACACGUUCUGAAGGGACCUGAACCUGGCUCCACGGACCCCUUACCUCCCCAGAGCUGUCUGUGAGAACGCUGAGCUAACUAUGCCACGAACCAGAGAUCAAAGAUCCUAUGCUACCCAGGGAAACUGAGCUCACCAAGAGCUACAAGCAGCUUGUCCACCACGAGGCAGCAAGUCACUGAGUGGGAUGAAGACACAGGAGCUCAGGCGUUGUGUGCCCAGCAGCUCACAAACUUCACCUGCAGUGCUACCAGGAGAGCUGUGGUAUGUGCUACCUGGGGAACUGCAUCUCCUGCUGCCUGCUGGUCUCCUGUGGCUCGGAUGUGGGACGAGCAGCGGCCGCUCCAGCAGGCCGUGCGUGCGCCCUGAAGGUGGUGGUAAGCUUUUGACACAUUCUGCCCCAACCGCUUUUCCUUAUUUCCUUGGAGGAAAAUGCA